rnacentral:snRNA from 1 species
UGCCAUGUGGGCGAUCUGGCUGCGACAUCUGUCACCCCAUUGAUCGCCAGAGUUGAUUCGGCUGAUCUGGCUGGCUAGGUGGGUGUCCCCUUCCUCCCUCACCGCUCCAUGUAUGUCCCUCCUGAAGCUGCGCGCUCGCUCGAAGAGGACCACCAUCCCUGCUAGAGGAGGGCCGGUCUUCGGUCAAGGGUAUACGAGUAGCUGCGCUCCCCUGCUAGAACCUCCAAACAAGCUCUCAGGGAAGUCUUGUAUUCUAUAAUGAGGAAUGUAUAAGGAUAAUGGGAAGCCUUUGAAGAGUAGUGAGCAAAGGAGAAACAUUAUCU